ACGGGAGGCAGCAGUAGGGAAUAUUGCACAAUGGGGGAAACCCUGAUGCAGCAACGCCACGUGUGGGAAGAAGCAUUUCGGUGUGUAAACCACUGUCGUGAGGGAAUAAUGCUUAAUUUCGGUUAAGUUGAAUGUACCUCGAAAGGAAGCACCGGCAAACUUCGUGCCAGCAGCCGCGGUAAUACGAGGGGUGCAAGCGUUGUUCGGAAUCACUGGGCGUAAAGGGAGCGCAGGCGGAGAUGCAAGCAGUCUGUACAAUUCCGGGGCCCAACCCCGGACCUGCAGUCUGGCCUGUUUCUCUUGGAUAGUUCAGGGGCAAGCGGAAUUCCUGGUGUAGCGGUGGAAUGCGUAGAGAUCAGGAAGAACACCGAUGGCGAAGGCAGCUUGCUGGGGACUUAUCGACGCUCAUGCUCGAAAGUGCGGGUAGCAAACAGGAUUAGAU
rnacentral:rRNA from 1 species